AUUGAACGCUGGCGGCAUGCUUUACACAUGCAAGUCGAACGGUAACAGGGAGCUUGCUCCGCUGACGAGUGGCGAACGGGUGAGUAAUAUAUCGGAACGUACCCAAGAGUGGGGGAUAACGUAGCGAAAGUUACGCUAAUACCGCAUACGAUCUAUGGAUGAAAGUGGGGGAUCGCAAGACCUCAUGCUCCUGGAGCGGCCGAUAUCUGAUUAGCUAGUUGGUAGGGUAAAGGCCUACCAAGGCGACGAUCAGUAGCUGGUCUGAGAGGACGACCAGCCACACUGGAACUGAGACACGGUCCAGACUCCUACGGGAGGCAGCAGUGGGGAAUUUUGGACAAUGGGCGCAAGCCUGAUCCAGCAAUGCCGCGUGAGUGAAGAAGGCCUUCGGGUUGUAAAGCUCUUUUGUCAGGGAAGAAACGGUAGAGGCUAAUAUCCUUUGCUAAUGACGGUACCUGAAGAAUAAGCACCGGCUAACUACGUGCCAGCAGCCGCGGUAAUACGUAGGGUGCAAGCGUUAAUCGGAAUUACUGGGCGUAAAGCGUGCGCAGGCGGUUUUGUAAGUCUGUCGUGAAAUCCCCGGGCUCAACCUGGGAAUUGCGAUGGAGACUGCAAGGCUAGAAUCUGGCAGAGGGGGGUAGAAUUCCACGUGUAGCAGUGAAAUGCGUAGAGAUGUGGAGGAACACCGAUGGCGAAGGCAGCCCCCUGGGUCAAGAUUGACGCUCAUGCACGAAAGCGUGGGGAGCAAACAGG
rnacentral:rRNA from 1 species